rnacentral:rRNA from 1 species
AUUGAACGCUGGCGGCAGGCCUAACACAUGCAAGUCGAGCGGCUGAAGGGAGCUUGCCCCUGGAUUCAGCGGCGGACGGGUGAGUAAUGUCUAGGAAUCUGCCUGGUAGUGGGGGAUAACGUCCGGCAACGGGCGCUAAUACCGCAUACGCCCUGAGGGAGAAAGUGGGGGAUCCUCGGACCUCACGCUAUCAGAUGAGCCUAGGUCGGAUUAGCUAGUUGGUGGGGUAAAGGCCUACCAAGGCGACGAUCCGUAACUGGUCUGAGAGGAUGAUCAGUCACACUGGAACUGAGACACGGUCCAGACUCCUACGGGAGGCAGCAGUGGGGAAUAUUGGACAAUGGGCGAAAGCCUGAUCCAGCCAUGCCGCGUGUGUGAAGAAGGUCUUCGGAUUGUAAAGCACUUUAAGUUGGGAGGAAGGGCAGUAAGUUAAUACCUUGCUGUUUUGACGUUACCAACAGAAUAAGCACCGGCUAACUUCGUG